GCUCGCCUGUAAUCAUUGAUUUUUCGAGAUUGAUUAACAUUCCGUGUUCCCAUCUUUACGCAAAUCAUGAACUUAGACUUUUUUUAUCACAAAUGCAAAUCAAUCAUAAGAUCGUUACCAUUUUUGCGGACCGAAUGAAGGCUAUAUAAACCGAAGCCUUCAUCAUCAUCUCGACACAACCACCCAUUUACACCCUCUCCUUUCCUGCUAACUCACAACGUUCAAUAACUGCCAAACUUGCCGAAUAAUGAGCUCGCCGGAGAAAUCCCGAAGUGUCCGCUUGAAACUCGUCGGAGUCAUAACACCUCGCCGGUGUUUACGAUGAUCGUUUCCCGUUCGAUAUUUUGGAUUUUCUUCCAUCUUUACUCGUGCGAUAAUUGAAGGAAUUCUCAUACGCAACCAAU
rnacentral:lncRNA from 1 species